rnacentral:lncRNA from 1 species
GUCAACAAUUGGAUAAUCGGAAAACAUAUGCAAACUUUGGCAAAUUACAUAAGGAUAGCAGGUAGACGAGCAACAAACUGCGCCGCCAUACCUUUUUGAAUAGAAAACCCUAAUCUACUAAAAACAAAGCCUCGCCCCUAAGGGGUCGAAAAGUUGCUAUGGACCACACGCUGAACUCUAGACAAGAACCGAACUGCCUCCGGCGCCAAGGAGCCGAACGUGUCAAACGCUAGGGGGACAAAGGCAUGUUGAUUAUCUUC